GAGUUUGAUCCUGGCUCAGGAUGAACGCUGGCGGCGUGCCUAACACAUGCAAGUCGAACGGAGAAUACAUUUUUAAAGCGCUUAGCUUGCUAAGUGUGGAAAUGUUGUAUUCUUAGUGGCGGACGGGUGAGUAACGCGUGGAUAACCUGCCUCACACUGGGGGAUAACAGUCAGAAAUGGCUGCUAAAACCGCAUAAGCGCACAGCAUCGCAUGAUGCAGUGUGAAAAACAUUAGUGGUGUGAGAUGGAUCCGCGUCUGAUUAGCUAGUUGGUAGGGUAAGAGCCUACCAAGGCGACGAUCAGUAGCCGGCCUGAGAGGGUGACCGGCCACAUUGGGACUGAGACACGGCCCAAACUCCUACGGGAGGCAGCAGUGGGGGAUAUUGCACAAUGGGGGAAACCCUGAUGCAGCGACGCCGCGUGAGCGAAGAAGUAUUUCGGUAUGUAAAGCUCUAUCAGCAGGGAAGAAAAUGACGGUACCUGACUAAUAAGCAUCGGCUAACUCCGUGCCAGCAGCCGCGGUAAUACGGAGGAUGCAAGCGUUAUCCGGAUUUAUUAGGUUUAAAGGGUGCGUAGGUGGGCGUUUAAGUCAGUGGUUAAAGCCAAUAGCUUAACUAUUGUAUGCCAUUGAAACUGGAUGUCUUGAAUAGGGUAGAGGUAGGCGGAAUGUGUUGUGUAGCGGUGAAAUGCUUAGAUAUAACACAGAACACCGAUUGCGAAGGUAGCUUACUAUGCCUUUAUUGACACUGAUGCACGAAAGCGUGGGGAUCAAACAGGAUUAGAUACCCUGGUAGUCCACGCUGUAAACGAUGAUCACUCGUUUUUGGCAAUACAUCGUCAGAGACUAAGCGAAAGCAUUAAGUGAUCCACCUGGGGAGUACGUUCGCAAGAAUGAAACUCAAAGGAAUUGACGGGGGCCCGCACAAGCGGAGGAACAUGUGGUUUAAUUCGAUGAUACGCGAGGAACCUUACCUGGGCUUAAAUGUAUAGUGCAUAAUAUGGAAACAUAUUUUUCCUUCGGGACUCUUUACAAGGUGCUGCAUGGUUGUCGUCAGCUCGUGCCGUGAGGUGUCGGGUUAAGUCCCAUAACGAGCGCAACCCUCAUCGCCAGUUGCCAGCAUGUAAUGAUGGGGACUCUGGUGAAACUGCCGGUGUAAACCGUGAGGAAGGUGGGGAUGACGUCAAAUCAGCACGGCCCUUAUGUCCAGGGCUACACACGUGUUACAAUGGCCAAUACAAAGGGCAGCCACCCGGCGACGGGGUGCUAAUCCAUAAAGUUGGUCUUAGUUCGGAUCGGAGUCUGCAACUCGACUCCGUGAAGCUGGAUUCGCUAGUAAUCGUAGAUCAGCCAUGCUACGGUGAAUACGUUCCCGGGCCUUGUACUCACCGCCCGUCA
rnacentral:rRNA from 1 species